rnacentral:lncRNA from 1 species
GGAGCUUUAAUUGGAACUGACCUUGUAAAGCAUGCUCCCUUAUGUUCAGGCUUACAGUCAUGGGUGGGCUGGCUGAUCUAUUUAAAAAUGCCUGGUUCACAUUAACUACCCAGUUUUCAGAGAGAGUUUUUAGAUGCUUGGCGGUAUCACACGGAACAAAUGACUGCGUUUGAAUAUUGAUCCGGCACCUUGGCAGUUAAUGGAAACAAUAAGUAUCGAUGUUGCUUGUAGCACCUCAGACAGCACUAUCAUGAAAUGUUUUGAGGUAAGAAAAUACUUUCCUUAAGGAAAAAAAAAUACUAAUUAUACAACUCCUGCUACUAGGACAACAGCUUUCCAGUUGCUGAUCUGUAUGUAUUUUUAGAAGGAACAGAAAUGAGAGUCAAGUAAGGUCUAACAAGCAAGGAGAUUCUCCCAGGACAGAUUUGAUCAAAAUUAGUUCCUAUGAUUAUAACAUAGAUCCAAAUGUAACAGGCCCAUCAAAUAGCAAAUGCACUGUUUUGCUCCAGAAGGCUACGCGGAAAAGAAAUGCUGUGUCUUUUUGCCGGUUGGGUGGAAGCAAGCAAAGGGUUGGAACUGGACGGGGCAAAGCAGGUGUUUACGAGGAAGCCUAGGACUGGACCCUGGCUCCACUGCCAAUCUGCUAUUGCUAACCUCUACACAGGCUUUCAAAGUGGAUGCCGUCCAGAAAUCCUAUUACAAUAAAUUUACUGUAUUAAAAAAAAAAAACUAAAGAGGAAAUAAGACACGGUCAUAUUAUUAAGUCUGACUGCUCACCAUUGCCAGCCUUUCAUCUAGCCCUUUGUUUAUUGUCAUCUUAUCCUGCGCUUAAUCUCAUAUAAAGUGUAGGUGCUCUAGUACAAGGACCUUCCAUUUUCUCUCUUUCAAGUGCCUUCUGCAUGUAUGAUACUACAUUUAAAGCACGGUUAUUUUAAAACAAGGAUCUGCCAUUUUCUUUGUCUUUAAAGUGCUUUCCACAUCUAUGUUGUGGAAAUAAAAUUUUGUUACAAAAACUUAGCCA